rnacentral:rRNA from 1 species
GACGAACGCUGGCGGCGUGCUUAACACAUGCAAGUCGAACGGAAAGGCCCUGCUUUUGUGGGGUGCUCGAGUGGCGAACGGGUGAGUAACACGUGAGUAACCUGCCCUUGACUUUGGGAUAACUUCAGGAAACUGGGGCUAAUACCGGAUAGGAGCUCCUGCUGCAUGGUGGGGGUUGGAAAGUUUCGGCGGUUGGGGAUGGACUCGCGGCUUAUCAGCUUGUUGGUGGGGUAGUGGCUUACCAAGGCUUUGACGGGUAGCCGGCCUGAGAGGGUGACCGGCCACAUUGGGACUGAGAGACGGCCCAGACUCCUACGGGAGGCAGCAGUGGGGAAUAUAGCACAAUGGGCGGAAGCCUGAUGCAGCAACGCCGCGUGCGGGAUGACGGCCUUCGGGUUGUAAACCGCUUUCGCCUGUGACGAAGCGUGAGUGACGGUAAUGGGUAAAGAAGCACCGGCUAACUACGU